rfam:Ipomoea nil DNA, scaffold: scaffold1868, cultivar: Tokyo-kokei standard.
GCCCGUCUAGCUCAGUUGGUAGAGCGUAAGGCUCUUAAUCUUGUGGUCCUGGGUUCAAGCCCCAUGGUGGGCG